UCAAGGCGUCCUGACCGAAAUCACUGGCUACGCUCGUCGUAUCUGCAGAGGAAUUCUGAUUUCGCAGCCAAGCCUUCCUCCUUUUGCAGUUCUUUUUCAUGUGGCCAUCUUUCUUGCAAAAGUAACACUUCACCUUUUUCGAUUUUGACUUGAAAUGGGAUCUUCCUCUAUCUGCAUCACGUUCGCUAGAUCGUCCACUUCCUCCACCUGUAUCAUUUAUGACCAAACCUUCACUGCUUUUUUCGGUACUCGCCUGCAACCUGAUCUCUUCAGAUAAAAGUGUCGAUGUAACAUCUUCCAUCUUUAGAGUUUGCUUCCCGUACAGUAUGGUGGUCACCAAGUGAUUGUAGGACGACGUAAGUGAUGCAAGAAAAAUCAACUCAUUAUCGUCCUCGUCAACCUUAACAUUAAUGCUGAGCAAAUCUGCAAUAAUUUUAUUAAAGAUGUUAAAGUGUUCCGUUAUUGUCGUACCUUCCGUCAUGCGUAGUUCAUAUAAUUUUUGCUUUAGAUACAUCACGUUCUAGAGGCUUUUUUCAUGUACAACUUCUCUAGCUUGUUCCACAUGCCAGCUGUAGUUUUUUUAUCCAUGACGUUAUACAUCACCUCAUCUGCUAGACACAAUAUAAUUGUAUUUACCGCUCGCAGAUCAAUCUCCUCCCAAUCUUUGUCGCUGAUCAAUGUCGACUUUUUUGAUUUUCGAGCUGUUGGUGCACAAGAGGAAACAUGUUAUUGUUGUCCUCACGAAUGCAGAGUAGAAGAGAACCGCUCCAGUGUCCAGUCCUGCUCCACCUAAGGGGAAGUAGAUGCAAAUCCACGCCGCAAACCCUAGCCUAAGAAUGGAUAGGCACGUACCGUAGAUCGCGAAGAGAGAAGGAGAAUAUUUAUUUUAUAUAUUAUUAUCAUGGGAGAUUUAGUCUCAUAUAUUUAUAGGAAUAUACAAUAAUCCAAUUAGGAUUAUUAUUCAAUAUGGGACUAAAUAAUUAUAAUUAGAUUAGGAUUAAUAUUAGGAUAUCCCAUAAGAGAAGAAUCCUCAUCUAAUGCCAACAUCUCCCACUUCUCCAAUGAGGGAUAUUACAGAAUUGAAAAUUUGGCAUCAUAAUUAUCACAUCUCCCUAGACGAUCUUAACCGGUGCAUAUAAGAAGGGAUGCAGCGUGGGACCUCUGGAGUGCCUCUCCGUCGAUUCUUAAGAGAAACCAUGUCAAAUCUCCACCUGACCGAUCAUGGUACAUCUACUCUGCCAGCCUAACCUGGACCCAUCAAGUAAAUACUAAAACCAAAGCUCUCAACCCGAGACCACAAUGGUUCAUUACAUGCACAAUCUCUCUGACUUCUUAAGAAAACAUGUUGUAAUUAUUUAUUUACAUAUAUAUAGAUUUAUUUAAAAUAUGUCCUUUUGUUUUACAACAAUAGUUAUAAGCCCGGGCUAGUCAAAGGUCAAAGUGAAUGUAAAUCAAGUAUAAACUGAUGGAUUCUUCUUAUUCUGUCCAUGUUAGAGAAACAUAUGGCUGAUCGCUUUCCCAAAAUACGCCCAUUCGGCUAAAUCAUAAACAUAACCAUAGGUACGUAAAUCAAAGAAGCAGGUAUUAGCCAACUGCUCUCUAUGAUGGAACAAUGAGUUUUCAGGUCAUGAAGGUCACCUACAAGACCGGCUAUAAUAUCCCAUAACGACGAUUCUAGGGUAAUCAUGUCGUUGUAGGUAGUGAGGUCCUGGGGAACGUGCAACACAUCAGGUGUGUAUCAAAGGUGCUCCGUAAGCCUUUUAAACAAUUACAGUAAGGUAAAACACACCACACGGUUAAGUUGCAACACCUAUCGGCCCCUACGAGCCACAUGAGUGAUAUAUAUGUGUUAAGGUGCAAUACUAUCUCUCAUGUCGAUUCUCAAUUUACUAUAAGAAUCUCAUUCCGACCAAACCGAAAUCAACUUACUAAAAGUCUAUCUUGAGAUGUCCAAUGCCCAAGGCAUUGAUCUCAUUCGGUUUUAGCGACCUACCAAAGGCCCUAUCGUAUUGGAGAUUUGCCCGAAGACACAAUCUCCCACUAAGAUAAUAUGGUCGGAGCGGCUGAUCGUGCGCAACGCACAAGCCUCAUCCUCAUCCAGCCUCUUGGGCUUAGAGGGUGGUAUUGCCUGAGAUAAAGCAUAUCUUAGCUCGCCGACUAAUUUAACAUUAUAAACUUGACAUGGCGCUAUAAAAUGGCGCGGCAUGUGUCAUCAUGUGCAAUACAUAUAAUAUGGUAUACCGACAAAAACACACCACACAAGCUGAAAGUUCGAAAUUAGAUUAUGACAUCAAUGAGCACAAGUGACAAAAAUACUAUAUAUAUAUUUACCAGUUAGAUAAAAGAACUAUCAAAACUAUAUUACAAUCUUAUAACAAACUAGGUUAUCAAAUCUCUCAAAACCGACGAAGUCCCAUGGCUCUAACAUGAGACGAAAAAGCAUCACAGAGAAUUGGCUUAGUAAGAGAGUCAGCCAACAUCUCUUUAGACGGUACAUGAGAUAUCACUACUUCUUUUCUCUCGUUUAUCAUGAGACGGACAAAAUGGUAUCUAGUAUUAAUAUGUUUAGUUCUAUCAUGAAACUUAGCAUCUUUAGAAAAAUCAAUAGCAGCAGUACUAUCACAAAAGAUCUUGAUUGAUUCUAUGGCAGAGUCAAAAAUUCCAAGACUACAUAAGAAACGGUGGAUCCAAACUGCCUCCUUCUUUGCAGCACAGCAAGCAAUAUAUUCCGCUUCCAUCAUUGAUAAAGCAAUUGUUUUCUGUUUCUUGCUCCUCCAAGAUACAACACCACCCCUAAACAAGAACAGAGAACCUGAAGUAGAUUUACGAUCAUCUAGGUCAUUUGCCUAAUUGGCAUCAGUAUAAGCCUUAAUAUGUAGAUCAGAUCCUCCAUAACAAAUCAUAUAAUCCGAAGUGCCACGAAGAUACCUCAGAAUCCGCUUUACAGCAUUCCAAUAACCCAUUCCUUGGUUACUUUGGUAUCUACUUACUAAUCCUACUGCAAAAGCUAUAUCUGGUCGAGUAUAUAACAUUGCAUGCAUGAGACUGCCAACUGCGCUAGCAUAAGGUACUCGAUUCAUAUUAGCCUUUUCUUGAGUAGAAGAAGGACACAUAGCGGUUGAGAGUUUUUAUCCUUUAUCGAUGGGAGAAUCAAUCGGUUUGCAAUCUUGCAUUUGAAAACGUUCUAAAACCCUUUUAAUAUAGGUCUCCUCUGAAAGACCAAGAAAUUUUCUUGAGCAGUCCCGCACAAUUUUCACACUAAGAAUGUAAUUGGCUUCGCCCAUGUCCUUCAUAUCAAAAUUUGAGGAUAACCAAUCACGAGUUGCAUUAAUCAAUUGCAUGUCGUUUCCAGCAAGUAAAAUAUCAUCAACAUAUAACGACAAAAUCAAAAAACUUUUUGUUAGUCGCUUUACAUAAACACAAUGAUCCUCUUCAAUUAUGGAAAAAUUGAAAGAGAUAAUGGCCAGGUGAAAUUUGGUGUACCAUUGUCGCGAGGAUUGUUUAAGACCAUAAAUGGAUUUUCUAAGUUUGCAAACUUUGUCCUCUUGCCUCGAACAACAAAACCAGUAGGUUGCUUCAUAUAGAUCUCUUCAUCCAAAUCACCAUUUAAAAAAGCAGUUUUUACAUCCAUUUGAAAUAAUUCUAAAUCUAGUCGGGCUACAAGGGAUAGUAUCAACCGAAGUGAUGUAAAUUUUACUACGGGUGAAAAUGUUUCUUCAUAAUUUAUUCCCUCUAUUUGAGUGAAGACCUUUGCUACUAGCCGAGCUUUAAAUUUGUCAAUGGAUCGAUUUGCCGUUCUCUUUAUUUUGUGUACCCAUUUAUUUGCGACUACUUUUCUUUUAGCCAGAAGGCUAACUAACUCCCAAACUUUAUUUUUGAUCAUAGAGUCAAGUUCCUCAUGCAUCGUAGUUAGUCAUUUGUCAGCAUUCUGUGAAUCAAGUGCUUUUUUCAAAGUUGUUGGCUCAUCAGCAUCAAUGGAAACAAAAGCUGUUGUUCUUCCUUCAAUUUCAAAAUAUUUCUUUGCAAUUCGUUGACGCUCUCCUCGUCGAAUAAGUUGGAAGCUAUUCGAUGUAUUAGUAUUGCUCCCACUGGGCUCAUUUACAUAAAUAGGAAUUUCGGGAUCUGAAGUCUCAUGAAAUUCAUCAGCUUCACGAUGCACAGAUCUAUAAGGAAAAGAGUCUUUAAAAAACUCGACAUCAUGAGACUCCACCUUAGCUAUCUCUCCACCACUACGUUCAAAAAUAAAGACAUACCCUUUAGAAUGUUCUGAAUAGCGAAUAAAAAUGCACUCCACGGCUCGAGAAUCCAAUUUGCUUAUCAAAUGGGAGGGAAUUCGAACAUGUCCAGAACAGCCCCAAGGGCGCAUGUGUCACAAAAUUGGCUUUCUCCCAGUCCAUAUCUCAUAUGGUGCUUUUGGAAUAGACUUUGAGGGAACUCGAUUCAAAAUAUCCCUCGGCACUCGCCUUGAGUUGCAUUCGGGUCAUUCCAAAUCAGUAUUCUUGCUUGCUUGACACUUACCCACCGGAAGAAAGAACGGACUGAGAUCUCUCGCAUUGCAGUCAAUAAGGCAUCUCCCCAGAAAGAUAAAGGAAGAUUGGCUUGGUCCAUCAUUGACCUUACCAUGUUAAGAAGUGUCAUAUUCCUCCUUUCAGCUACACUAUUUGAUUGCGAAGAAUAAGGCAUAGUGAAUUGUCUUUUAAUGCCAUGCUCCUCACAUAAAGUUUUGAACAAAAGAGAACUAUAUUCACCACCCCGGUCAGUGCGAAGUAUCUUAAUCUUUCUAGUAAGCUGAUUCUCUACUUUUAGUUUAUACUUCUUAAAACAAUCUAGAGCUUCCGACUUAUGGGAAAUAAGGUAAACAUAUCCGAAUCGCGAGUGAUCAUCGAUGAAAGAGAUAAAGUAAUAAGCAUUAUUUCUAGCUCAGAUAUUCAUUGGACCACAUAUGUCAUAAUGAAUGAUAUCUAGUAAUCCAUUUGAUCUAGUAGCUUUGGGAAAGGGCUUUCUAGUAAGUUUUCCUUGAACACAAGAAAUACACUUGGGAAGGUGAAGAUGAGAUAGCGACCCUAAGAGACCAUCCCUUGCUAAUCUAGUCAACUGGUCCUGACUGAUGUGCCCUAAUCUAUUAUGCCAAACGACAGAAUCAAUGAUUCGGGCGUCACCAGAAGAGAUAGAGGAAUGGAAAAAAGAAGUGCAAUUAACACAGCAAUCCAACUCAAGAAUAAAUAAACUAAUUGAGAAUGUUGCACGAGGCAUACAAGACGCCAUGAAAUUUAAUAGAAGCUCUAUUUUUAAAAAAUCUAACAUCAAAUGAAUCAGAUACUAAUGCUAAAACAGAGACUAAAUUUCUUCACAUUUUAGGGGAAUACAAAACAUCCUUGAGAAUCAACGUCCGGCCAAUCCUUGCCCGAAGAUGGUAUUCUCCCACCCCGAUCACUUCCUCUGUGGCGUCAUUCCCAAGAAAUAUUUUGUGCUGUCCCCUUGGAAUGCUCCUAAAAUAGGCGAAACCGCUCCGGUCAAAAGUUAUGUGUUUUGAGGCUCCUAAGUCAAGGAUCCAAGACAAACAAUUUGAAUCAGUAAGGAAAGCCUCAGUGCAAACCAAAGAUGGAGAAAGAAUAGAUGAAUCAAAAGAAGAAUUAUCAAGAUGGGAUACCUUGGACUUGUUACAGUCAUUUUUCAUGUGGCCCUCCUGUCCGCAAAUCCAACAAAUGUUGCAACCUUUGCCUUUGAAAGGGUACUUUUGCUUUUGUUUGGAGGUCGGUUUCUGCCCAACAAACCGUCUAUUUCAUUUCUUCUUAAAUUGCUUCUUUGAUGGCUUCCAGAAAGUAUUCUUUCUUUUUUAUUGAAAGUUUUUACCUUUUGACUCCUUAUGCUGUGUGACGAGAGCGGUGACUGCGGCUUCAGUGAUUGCAAGCUCAAACUCCAAGAUAAGAUGGUGUGAUAGGUCUUCAAAAGAUUGAAUCUGAUUGUUGUGAAUUAGCACCUUUUUCAUAGUAUCCCAGGAAUCUGGUAAAGACCUAAGUACACCUGUAAUUUGUUGGGUAGAAGAAAGAGAACUUCCAGCUUCUUCAAGAUCACGAAUCAUGGUGCCCAUUUUUCUGAGAUGAUCUGUCAUAGAAUCACCAGUAGGCAUCUUGUAUGUCUCGAACGUCAUAGUUAGAGCCUGUAUACGCGAGGCGUCCAAUUUUCCAAAUGCUUUCUUGACAGCGGACCACAUCUCUUUAGCAGUUUUGUGAAUUUCAAAUUGCUUAAUUAAAUCGUUACGCAUGCUACCAAGCAUCAAGUAACAAGCAGUUUUGUCAUUACGAGCCCAUGAAUUAUAGCGUCUACGAUCAUUAAGGGGGCUAUCGUCAGUUGGCUUCUCUAUUGAGUUUUCAAGAUGAUCACCUAAUUAAGCCUUGCUCAUGGAGAAGAUAUUGUAUCUUACGCUGCCACAUGUCAUAAUUUGUCCCUUGCAAGGUCUCGGCCUUCAGGAGAUCCAUCAAAAAGCUUUUCGAUGCCAUUUAUACUACAGUUUAAAUAGCACAAUUAGCUAAUAAGAUGUCGGGUAUACUUAUUUAUUUAUUUAUUUAUGUUGACACAUGCUCAAACUUUCAUAUAUCAAAAUUCUAAUUAAAUUAAUGUAAGCGCACUCGAUGCCCAAAACUAUACUGAAACAUAUAGAAUCAAAGUUCAGAGUUAACGCUUUUUGUUAAUCAAAUUAGAAAGUCAAAUAUGACAAGACUACUUUCGGAACAAACAAGGUCUAUUGGUUUCAAGCACCAUCAACCAAUUAAUGAACAGUAGGCCUAUUAACAAGGGCAACCCUUAUCUCAUCAAUCUAAUUAAAUGCAAUUAGAUUUACAUCACAGUCCAAUAAUAACAUUGAGGUUUAUAUGAAUAUUCAUUGAUAAUGAUUAAUAUCCACUAAUUAAGGAACGAUUAUAAUAUUUUGCUAGAACUCAAUAUACAGAGCAUAUAUGGCAAAGUAAUUUAAUAUCUGCAUGCUCAUUGUAUCAAUACAUACUUGUUGUAUGAUGCAAAUAACAGCACUUGGAGCAACUAAUCCUUAAUUAGCAAAUUCAUGUUAACAAGUCAGAUACCAUCCUUAGAGCAAGUGGCAAAGGGCGUGGUGGUAGGUAUCCGAGACUCAAGAUCGAAUCCUAGUUGAUUCACAUUUCUAGCUAAGUUUAUUUCUAAAUGAAAUAAACGAAGCGGUAGCGUGCUACCUAUCUCUCUCAAAAAAAAAAAAAAAAGUCUAACUAAUUAACUAUAAUCAAUUAAUUGCAUUAAAAUCUAAGAUGAUAUUAAAUAUAAACUUAAAACAAUGCUUUUGGAAAUAAGAAAAAAUAAACGCUAAUUGUUGUCAUGAUGAUUGUGCUGGCAUGCAUACAUGCAUAUGAGGACGUAUGGCUUCGGCCAUGCUAUGUGAUGACAAAAUUAGAUGGAUGUGCCGUGAUACACCUCAUCCUGUAUUAUCACGAGGCCACGUUAUUAUUAUUAUUAUUAUUAUUAUUAUUAUUAUUAUUAUUAUUUUGGUUCCCGAAAGAUAUUAGCCUCCCCACUACAACAAAAACGGUCUAUAACGACACUUUUACAUAUAGGUACAUGUCAAAAAAGUACUACUAGCUAAAAUUACCGACACUUUUAAAAAGUAUUGCUAUAUAUAGGGUCGCUAGAUAUAUAGUGACAGUUAAAGAGUGUCGCUAUAACCUAAAAGAGUGCUGCUAAUUUACCAACACUUAUUUAAGCAUUUAGCAACCGCCGAAACUCUAUCUCAUUAGCUGCGGUGGCGGAGAAGGACGACAGGAAGGGCUCUUCGUCUAGAAUUUCAAUGGAUUGAGUGAAGAGAGAAGAAAAGAUGGUAAUUAAUUUUUCUUUUUUUUUUUUCCUUUUCUGUUUGUAAUCGGGCCAAAUGUACUGGGUGUGGUGGAUUGAGUAGAAUAAUCUUUUAUUUUUGGUUGGAUUGGGCUUUAUAUUUACGCAUUAGUAGAUAUUUUUUUAAGCUUUAGUAUAAAUGGGACACUUAUACAAAAGUGUCCCAAACAUGUGUCCCUAUAACCUAAUUCUGUUGUAGUGCUCAUCCAAAGAAAAAUCAUCACAAUACUUCCUCCUACUCCCGCCAACUACGUCCGCAACAUUUAUUUUCUAAAUUGUUAAAAAAAAAAAUUUAAGGUACUUACAUUGAUCGCCCUUAUAUAAUUUGCUUUGAUACCAAUGUUGGUGCGCAAGCAAAACGUGUUAUUGUCGUCCUCACGAAUGCAGAGUCGAAGAGAACAGCUCUAGCGUCCGGUCCUGCUCCACCUAAGGGGAAGCAGAUGCAAGGACAUGCCGCAAACCCUAGCCCAAGGAUGGAUUAGCACGUACCGUAAAUCGCAAAGAGAAAAAGAGAAUAUUUAUUUCAUAUAUUAUUAUCAUGGGAGAUUUAGUCUCAUACAUUUAUAGGAAUAUACAAUAAUUCAAUUAGAAUUAUUAUUCAAUAUGGAACUAAAUAAUUAUAAUUAAAUUAGGAUAAAUAUUAGGAUAUUCCAUAAGGGGAGAAUCCUAAUCUAAUACCAACAUGAGAAACGCCUUAUGAAGGCCUUGUUGAACCAGAAGGCUUUCACUCUUCUCUGCCAAAGACCAAAGUUUCUUUUACCGUCAAAUUUCUCCACCUCAAACUUAAAAAGCGAGACCUUCGACAUCUCUGAUGUAACACGAAUCGUAGGCUCUGAUACCACUUGUUGGGAACCGGACGAAUUGUCCAUCAUGCUCUACCAACAAAAAUGUACGAAAAAUAAAAAAAAUCGAACGAACGAUAAAAGAAAUAAAUGCAGAAAGAAAAAAUCAAAAUUUACGUGGUUCGGCAAUUGCCUACGUUCACGGAGAGAGCGAGAGAGAUGUGUUCCACUAUAUGAAAAAAUAGAAGUACAAGCUUACACCUUAUAUUUUCUCUGAAUAAAAAUCAAGAGCCUUAUAUAUGGUAAAUCUCACAUUUCUCUUGUUUUAAUGAAAACUCUACAAAAAUACUGAAAAAACUUUUCGUAAAACCGAGAAAAUCAAAUUAGAGAAGUAUAAAAACUCUAACCAAAAAUUUUUAUGCCGUUGCUUUGAAGAAUCCGAAUUGCUCAGGUAAUUUGGUCGAGAACCGCCGCUCCGCCACCGACUUCAAUCUAUUGCAUUCGUGGGGAAGCCGCGCACCUUGAAGCACUACCGUACGACGUCAAUAACUUAAUUAAUUAGCCUAUCUCUUUCUCUUGCUGUCGUAGGGCCUCAGGAGGAAAAGACCGGCUACCUUUUAAUUAGACUUUCUAACUAAUUUUUGGCCACCACACCUUCAAGACCAUCCGCCUCAAGAGAAAAAGACCGGCCACCUUUUAAUUAAACUCUCUAACCUCUAACUAAUUUUUGACCACCACACUUUCAAGUAGUACCACGUGCAUAUAUAUAUAUAUAUAUUAGCUAAAUCCUACUCUAAUUCAAUAUAAUCAUUGAAUAUAGAGUUCUGCAUGAAACCAAUCCUAGUCCACUCAGGUUCCAACUUAAAUUAGGAUCCAAAAAAAAAACAUUCUCAUACGAUUCUAUUUAUUUUUUCAUAGAUCCGGUGCACAUGAACCAAACUAAUAAAAAAAAAAAAAAAAAAACAGAUCUCUAACAAGAAUAGCUCUGCUUCAACUCCCCAACUCUUCCUUGUUCCUUCGCAUUCGUCGCUCAGAGAGAGAGAGAGAGAGAGAGAGAGAGAGGAGGAAAUGCAUCUGAGCGCGAGCGAGGGGAUCGACGGGAACAGGUUCGUGGUGACGGGGGGAUUAGGGUUCGUGGGAUCCGCCCUUUGCUUGGAGCUCGCCCGCCGAGGGGCCGCCGAGGUCCGAUCCCUCGACCUCCGCACCUCCUCCCCCUGGUCCCGCGAUCUCCACAGCGCCGGUGUUCGAUGCAUCCAAGGUCCACCCCCCACCCUAAUCCCCCCUUUAUUCUACUCUCCCGAUCUUCUUCUUCUCUUCUUUUUAGUGAGAAUUAAAAGGGAUUUGGACCUGCAUUUUGUAAUCAUCUUUCCAAUGCGUGCGGUGAAAAUGAGUAUCAUCGCCUGAUAUGGAUAUGAUUCCUGCACUCGACGUACAUGUAUCUACCAUUUACCUUUACCUUGUUGCUGGGAUCUUCAACACUGUUGUUGUGUCUGGAACUGAUUUCAGAUAGAAUCCAAUUGAACUAAUGGUGGUAGUUAGUGGUAGUUUACUAGCUAGUUCGGCGCAUCAGUGAUGGCGGUGUUAGAGUGGCGAGAACAAGUUUAUUAAUUCCAAAAAACAAAAUGAGAUUUCAAUUGACCAGUAGCGAAAAACUGAACGUCGUUCUGCCAGAAGCACACAAUUUAAGGUUUCGAAGAGGAUACCUUGUAAGGUGUGCAUGCCUGUAGUUGUUUUUUUUUUUUUUUUUAAUCGAUGACACACAGCACUUGAAGGGCUUCUAGUGUUUUUUAAAAAAAAUCAUAAUAGUAGUAACACUGAAUUCAUGAGUAGGACAUACUAAAAGCAACAAAAAUGUGAAUAAAAUUCUUUUAACAACUUACAGAAUAAAGUUUUAAAUAGGUCAUUUUGUACCUUGACUGAUGUUUCAAACAUUUGCAGGAGACGUGCGUCGAAAGAAGGAUGUUGAGAGAGCUUUACGUGGGGCUGACUGUGUCUUCCACCUCGCCUCUUAUGGCAUGUCGGGGAAGGAAAUGCUACAGGCUGGUCGUGUUGAUGGCAUUAACAUAAGCGGGACCUGCAAUAUAUUGGAUGUCUGCCAUGAGCUUGGGGUCAAAAGACUCGUCUAUGUGAGUACAUGCAAUGUGGUUUUUGGAGGAAAGGAAAUUGUGAAUGGUAAUGAAUCACUGCAGUAUUUUCCAAUCGACGAUCAUGUCGAUCCGUAUGGUCGUAGUAAAUCAGUCGCAGAACAACUGGUCCUAAAGAGCAAUGGUCGCCCAUCAAAGUGAGUAGUUUGAACCGUCUUUCGUGUGUAUUUGUUAUUCAUGCUUUUGUUGAGAAGCACUGUGUAAAAUAGAUGCUGAGGGCCUUUUGGCCGUGCUGGCGCUUCUGUAAAAGUGCUACCACUAUUCAAAGAAUCUCUAGUAGUUUUUGUGUGAAGACCCUUCAACGGCUUAACGCUGCAACUGGGAAUAGAAAAUUCUGCUUUUAGAGCCCACAAACUCAUUUCUUCUUUCAAUACAGAAAAUUCAGAUUAUGUCUGCUAGCUACUUGGUUUUUGCUUCUCAAAUAAGAUUACUAUCUUUUCUUAUUUCAGGGACAAGAGUGGGACCCGCCUCUAUACUUGUGCUAUUCGUCCUGCUGGUAUUUAUGGACCUGGUGAGGAGCGACACCUUCCAAGGAUUCUCUCCCUUGCUAAAAUGGGACUACUAUUCUUUAAAGUUGGCGGUACGAGCAUAAAAACAGACUGGGUUUAUGUGGAAAACCUUGUACUUGCCCUGAUAUUGGCGAGCAUGGGGCUUUUAGAUGACAUUCCUGGCAGAGCACAACCUGUCGCUGCUGGUCAGCCAUAUUUCAUAUGCGAUGGUAAUGAUCAGACAUAUGAGUUUGAACUUUGUUAGAUUACCGGAAAUUUUGAUCAUGUAUUUAUCAUCAUCUUUUGCGUUGAAUGUAUGUUUUAUGUUUGGCUCUUGAUAUUGUCUUAUAUGGAAGAUUUUGCAGUAAAUGACCAGAUAUUACAGAUAACAUUGAUCUAAAACUUAAUUAUUUAUAAUUUUAGUCACUUUGAGAUUGAUUUUACUAUGGUCCUUCUUGUUGACAAGUUCUGAAGUAUCAUAUUAUGAUGCUAUUUAUAGUGAAAGUAUUUCUUAAUGUGGUAAUGUACUAAGUUCUGUAAAGAGAACCCUUCUUGGUUAUAAUUUUAAAGUUAGCUGUAUAUAAUCAAUUGGGAGAACAACUUCCUGAUUGAUUAUAGUAGUUCUGUAAAGAGAACCCUUCUUGGUUAUGAGUUUAAAGUUAGCUGUAUAUAAUCAAUCGGGAGAACAACUUCCUGAUUGAUUAUAGUCAAUUCCUGAUUGUUUCAUUGUAGUCAAUUCCGCUAAAUGCAGGAGAACAACCUUGUAGAUCUGUAUGUAACAAUCAGGAUGAAGAUACUUAGCUCUUUUAAGAUACACAAAUUUGAUUGCAAGCUGCAUGUCUUGUGGUUAGAAAGUAUCUGGUAAUAGCCCCUACGAGGUAUUGACUAUUCACGUCAUCUAUAAGUUGAUGCUCGACUUGUAGCAUAAACAAACUGUUCAUUGCUAAGGUAAAAUGUUUGCUGGGCAAUUUAUGUUGGCCAUAAAGCUGCAAAGUGAACUGGUUUUUUGAUGAGUUACUUUUCUUCCAUAUUCAGCUUUCACAUGCCUUCCUUUUUUCCUAUUCAAAAGUCAUUCCUUCUCUUUUUGUUUCUUUUUUGCAGGUUCUCCUGUCAACACAUUCGACUUUAUAGUCUGCCCUCUACUUCAAAGUUUAGACUAUAAUAUGCCAAAAAUAACAUUGAAAGUUGAGCAUGCACUGCUCGUAUCACGAGUUUGCUGGAUAAUGUAUACACUGCUAUAUCCAUGGCUUAAUCGUAGAUGGCUUCCCCAACCUCUACUUCUUCCUGCUGAAGUAUACAAGGUCAGCAUGCUUGAUCCACUUUCUUAUUAUUAAACAGUCCUAUCCUCAUGCUUUAGCGGAUAUAUAGUAACUCGUUCACUUGGUUUUUUACCUCUUGGAGGUGUAGUCAUGUGUUGCAUUAGGUGCCUUGUGGAGAAUCAAUCGAUAUCUAUUAACUUUCAUGAGUGAUAAGUCAGAUGCAUCAGAUUGCAAAUUUCUAGAGAUCUAUGUAAAUUUCUUCUAUUAUUUUAAUCAGUCACACAUAUGACAUCUCUGUUAAGGACGGAAAAGUUUUAUGUGCCUUUAUGAUGCUUUGCGAGUGGCUAUGACGUGUUACGUAGCAUAUGGUUGUGGGAUAUGGAUGAAUAUUGUAAUAUCUGUAUCACUAUAAAAAAUAAAUAGAAACUCACCUAGAACAGCUAUUUAAGUCGAUUCUUUUUAUCCUGGUUAGUCAUAAUUCUGUAGCAGCUUUGGCUCUGUUUGUAAGUUGUCUACAAAGGCCUUAUUUGGAACAACUUAAAACCAAAGUAAACAUGUCGUGAAUCAAACAUAUCACUAUCACGAGCUAAUUUUUAGAGCUAAUCCUAACGUAUCCUUGAACAGGUGGGUGUCACUCACUACUUUUCCAUUUUGAAAGCAAGAGAAGAGCUCGGGUACAUGCCGAUGGUGAGCCCUCGGGAGGGCAUGGCUGCGACUAUAUCAUAUUGGCAGGAGAGGAAAAGGAAAGAAUUAGAUGGGCCAACCAUAUAUGUGUGGCUCUUUGUUAUUGUGGGGAUGUCGAUUCUGUUCUGCGCCGGUUUCCUUCCCCCAGUAGAGCCGGUGCGAUGGGCACACAACCUCAGCCUUUUCUUUCUCCGGUCAAUGUUAGCAAUCAGACUCGUCUUCAUCGUAGCAGUUAUGCUGCAUGUUGCAGAAGCUUUUUAUGCAUGGUCGCUGGCGAGAAGGAUUGAUCCUGAGAAUUCGAAAGGGUGGUUUUGGCAGACCCUUGCCCUUGGUUUCUUCUCGCUUAGAUAUCUCCUGAAGAGAGCUAGAAGCUGAGACACUAUAUUAUUAUACAACAAACAUCAUGAUCUGAUAUCUGCAAAUGAGCAGGUGCAGGAUUGGUAUGCCCAGAAAUAGUUUUGUAACAAUCACUGUUGUUGAAGGUUGAGACGCUGUAAAAUUCUUUGCUCUCAAUCUAUGCUGGUUGCUGUUUGACAUAUCCUUGGAUGUACUGGUUGUUUGUAAUUUACAUCUCUCUAAUUUUCCUACGUACUAGCCGAUGUUACAUCAAGCAGGCAUUGCAGUUAAAUUACAAGAAUCUUGAUUGAAAGAUCUGAGUAAAGACUAAAUCCCUGGCGCAAUGACGGAUGGGAGAAUUGGACAUAAACAGGUUUCAGACAAAUAUCAGCUUUUCAUCUGCUUAUGCGCCGUAAGAUUACAGAUUUUCAUGGGCAAAUCUUGAAUAAAUUAUAGCUUCUGGCAAAAUUAUGCAAAGAAAAAUUGUCAAAAAUUAAAGUAUUUUUAGUUAUAGUGCACGAGUGAUGCACGUUGCGCUUGCGAAUUAAAUUAAAUUAAACUAAAAAUAAAAUUUUAAGCGAAAAUGAAUUCGGAUUUUAAUUUGAAGAUAUUAAAUGGUUUUUGAUGGCAUAGGAAUUUAUCUUUUUAAUUAGUCUGUUUACAAAUUCGAUUUAUUUCUAAGUGUAUUUUAUAUUUAGUUGUACCAUAAGUAUUUUUUGUAUAUGUUCAAUGACAUGCAAAUUCUUAAGUAAUGUAUACCCAAAAUUUAAAUAUUUGAAUUGAUUCCAAAAUUUAAAUUAUUUAUAUUUAAAAUUGCAGAUCAAAUGUCACUUUUAAAUUUGAAUCUAUUAUUUGAAGUUAAUCUAUUGUUGUUGAUUUGAUAGAUCUAUUUUUUAACCAUUAUAUUGUUCAAACCUUAUUUACUUUUAAUUAAUUAAUUAAUUAACUAACUAACUUUGCAAUUUGUUUGGAAUAUAUAUUUUUUUUUUUUGUCAUAUUAGACUUAUAACGAACAACCUUUUAUCGUUACCUCGCCUUUUUUCUUUACGCACCAACCCGCAAAAAACCAAAAAAAACCUUUCGAGCGAGUGGGGGGACAUUGUAUGAUUGUAAAGUGGGGUGAGCUCACCCAAGCGACCAGAGUCCAACCGUGUCGUGGGACUGUGGGAGUGGUGGGGAGGGUAUGGUUACCGCAGCGCGUCGUUAUGUCUUCUUAGGGCCUACCUUUUUUUCCGGCCGAAACGGGCCUGGAAACUCCCAUUUUCAGGCCCGGCCUGGCGCGUCUACAAAUUGAAACUCAGCCUCAGGCCGCCCCCAAGCCGGGCCGACAUUUCCGGACGCUCGUCCGAGCACGGCCCUCAGCCCAGCAUGCGACGGGCCGGACCAGGCCGGGGGGAAUCUUUGUUUCUAAAUUAUUAAAAGGAUAUCAUAGCUAGAAAUAAUUUAUAUUCUUAUUUGUUCUGAAAAAAAAAAUUAAAAAUUAAAAAUUAAAAAGGAUUUAUACAAAAAUUUAAAAUUUUAAAAGUAUUUAUACAAAAAUUUAAAAUUUAAAAUUUAAAAUGUAAAAUUUUAAAAAUCAUUUGAAUAAAAUUAAAGGAAUUAUAAAUAUUUAAAAAUUAUCUGGGCAUAAGUUAAAAAAAAAAAAAAUUUACAAAUUAUUUCUAUAAAACUAAAAAAAUUAAAAAAUUAAAAUUAUUUGAAUAAAAUUUAAAAAAAAAUAAAAAAGUAUUCGGCGAAUGUUCCGUCCCCACAAGCCACGCGUACGGUCACCUCCGGGAACUCGUGACCUCAAUUCUUUUUCGAUGCCAACCCUGGAAAAAAUUUAAUUUAUUUAACGGCGUGUCAGAGGGUGUUGUAUGAGGGGUGAGCUCACGGGCGGUGACCAUACUCACAGACAGCUGCUUUCAAGUUUCAACUGCACCAUCCGUUCAGAGGAUAUUUGUAGCUUUUAACUAAUAAUUUUUUUAAAAGCUCACUCAUUAAGACAUUAUUUACAAUAUUAUACUUUUGAAUGUAAUUUUUAAUAUUUGAACAGUUUCAUACUAUAUUAUAAUAUUGGUAUUUCUUUUUUUUUUUCUAAAUUUAUUAGUGUUAGAUAUAUAUGGUCUGAGGUAGACCAGGUUUAAGCUAUAAUAUCUCUUUGGAAAAAAAAAAAAAAAAUUUAAAUUUAUGAAUUUGAAUUUAAUCUACUGCUGAUUCGAUAGAUCUAUUUUUAAACCAUUAUAUUUUUGUCAAACCUGAUUUAAUCAGUUAAUUAAAUAAGUAAUUAAUUAAUUUUGUAAUUUGUUUGGAAUAUUUUUUUUAUUAUAUUUAGGAUUACAUCUGUCUUCAAAAUUUGUCUUUUGCUUAUAUAUUAUACAUAAUAAAGUAGUAUGCAUAGUAUAUAUAGGUUUAUUAUGUGCGCUCAUUCGCCCCCCAACUGGUGCGGUACAAUCACCUACAGGUUAGCGUGACCUCGAUAUUUUUUAGGCAUCAACGCACCAAAAAAAAAACUUUCGGGCGAGUCGGCGGUAUUGUAAAGUGGGGGUGAGCUCACCGGGGUGACCGGACUCAAAUACCGCUUUGGCGGGAAAAUUACGGUUACCGUGGCAGAAUAACGGCCCAUAAUUGUCCAGCCGAAAUGGGACUGGGCCGGGCCGGAGAGGCCCGGUCAGGCUAGCACGGGCCGGGCCGGGCCAGGCCGGGAGGGCAGGACCCUUGCUAGCCUCGUAUUUUCUUUACUUUUUUAGAUUUUAAAACUUUUUGCUUUAAAAAAUUUACAAAAAAAUUGUAAAUAUUUUUUAAUUUCUAAAAGUAUAUUAUGUUUACAAAUAAUUCUAGGUUUAAUUUUAUUCUAAAAAAUUGAAACUUUUUAAAUUACUUAUACAUAAAUUUAAAAUUGAAAAAAUUAUUUGAACAAAAGUUAAAAAAAAAUUGUACAUGUUUAAAAAUUAUUUGGACGUUAUCUAAAAAAAAUUUAAAAAUUAUUUGAAUAAAAUUCAAAAAUUAAAGAAUAUUAAAAUUAUUUGAAUAAAACUAAAAAUUCUAAAAAAAAUUGGAUAGUUUAAGUGUGUGUGUGUGUAUAUAUAUAUAUAUAUAUCUCCCUUGAUCCCUUCUCGCUUGGUGGGCUUCCUUGUCCCAAAGUUAUUAUUCCCCCCCAUUGCCCCCUGGGGCUGGGGCUGGGGCUGGGGCUGGGGCUGUACUGGGCCGACAGGCCUAAUCUGGGCCUCAAUUUGUAGCCCAUCACAGUGCGAAUGUUCGGGCCGGGCCGGGCCGGACCCGGUCCGUUUUACAUACAUAGUCAUAGUAGCCUCUAAGUGACGCGUAUGGUCACCUCCCGGUACUAGUGACCUCAAUUCUUUUGGGGUACGAACCCUCGAAAAAAAUUAUUUAACGGGGUAUGAGAGGAUGUUGUAUAUGGGGUGAGCUCAUUGGAGGUGACCAUACUCAGAAACCGCCACCCCGUCGGAUCGGAGGAGAGAAAUGGGCGGUAUUUUCACUCUCUCGGUUUUACAUGGUUUGGUUAAUAAAUCCAGGCACAGCAUAAUUUCUUUUCUUUUUUUUAAUUCAGUUGCUGAUAUAUUUUUAAAAAAUUUUCUAGUAUGUAAACAUUGCAAAGAACAUAAGCAGUCGGCGAAAAUAUAUUAGUAAUAUAUUACUUAAAUAUUAAGUAGCUCACAAAAUUAACAGUGGGAAAAAAAAAACCUUUUACAUAAUGUAUGCUCCAAUUUCACAGUGAAUCAUUUUUUUUUAAAGCCCACUCAUUGAGAUAUUAUUUACAAUAUUAUACUUUUGAAUGUAAUUUGAAACAAGUGAAAAGUUUCAUCCUAAAUUAUAAUAUUGGCACUUUUUCUUUUUUACUAAAUUUAUUAGUGUUAGAUAAUGUGGUCGUGGAUCGUGGUAGACAUGGUUUAAACUACAAUAUCUCUUUUUUGCUUGGGGAGAAAAAAAAAGAAAGUGUGCCGAAGAGAGGUAGAAAAGAUUGGAUGGAACAUUACUAUAAUAUUCAACUGCGCGAGAGCAAAAAAGGAGUAAAUAAGAGGACAGUUUGAUCAUAACACAUCAUUGAGGUGUGCAGAUUUUAUAUAUAAUAUACACAAUAAACACUGGCUAACCCACAACAUGGUCGUUGGCAGUUCCUGCCUCAGAAACAACUAGCAGUGUCGCAAAACUCUAAAUUAUAGCUAAUAUUGAUUCCGGCGUCGAUAGCAUUUCUGUUGAAGCACGCCAGGCAUUCUAUUUUCCUACCAGCUACGUCGAUGCAAUCAGUAACAAGAUCUAGAAACAAGAAACGACGAUGCCGCCAACACGAAUCUCCUGGUUCCGUCGACGAACCAAGCACUCCUUUCUCAUUUAGGAUCCAAACAAAUUAAGCAGAGACCCCCCAUAUAGUUCAUUGUUCCCUGCUCUCAAGGCACAGCACCACCACUCUCAACGAUCUCUUCCUUCUCCCCGAGAAACUCCAAAGGGCCACCGAAAUAGUUCUCGGCCUCCAGUCUUAAAGACGAGUAAAGGUCCAUUUCUCCUUUUGAUUCGAGUCCGUUGAUCAGUACCCUGUAUGUGGUCUCAUCUGGGUCACUCUCCCACAGCUUCAUCAGGCGAAAACAGUCCACGGCCAAAUGCGUGAACCCAAACUCCAAAAGCACCUUGAGAAGCGAAUUGAAGCCUUCCGUGUCAGCCUCCAGAGACUCCGCCUUCAGAUAUGAACACAUCAAUUCGACCUUUUCGUUCAAGCCGCUGCUUGCGAGCACAUUGGUCAUAUCAGUGUACAAGGAUAACUGGGGCUUAUACCAAUAUUCCUUCCUAAUCUCUUCGAAGACCUAUCAGAAAGCAGAAUGCCCGCGGUCAUAUCAGAGAACUUCACUGGCAUCUUCUAGUCUUCUAGACAAGAAAUUUCCAUUCGGCACUGUUGCCUAAUUAGUAACUAAACAUUAUAUAAGUACAAAGAAGGGAGUCAAAAUCAAAAUUAAAAGUAGGGAAGUUUCACUGCAUACCUGUUCAAAGGAUAUGCAACAAUCAAAAUAGCAAGAUGCUUUUCCCGCAAGCAUUAACAACUGGUACAAUGAUCGGACACACUAGAAAGAAGAUGCUUGAUAGCAAUUUGAACAUGAAAAUGAACAUGAAGAGAGUGGUUGGUCAUGUAACUCAAACAACUCAAACAGAUUAGGUUUGCAGGGAAUAAUAGCACACCGGAUGAUCCGUAAUGGCCAUUCCAAUUCCAAUUCGGUAAGGUUGAUUGUGUAAAUGCUGAGGAUGAACAUUUCACUGCUCGUGAUGCUCGGCUUGCUUACAUCCUUAUAGCUACUUUUUAACAAAUAUAUUGCACAUUAGGUUUUCAGCAAAGGUAUAAUAUAUUUCUUCUGUGGUUGAGAGCAGUCGAAAGGGCUACAAAGAUGGUCGAAAUUUCAUAACAAAGCCUCAAAUCCUACUACACCUCGCACGACUACUCAUUCAGCAUCCAAAUUUCUGAGGAAAGCAUGCGGAGAACAACUCCUUCGUUCUUCAAUUUCAGCAUCAAACCCUCUUUAUCUUAGGGUCCGCUAAAACAAAAGAAGGGAGAGAGAAAUGGGAGAUUGAGCUAGAAUCGAAGAACCUGGAGGGCUAAGAGAGCCUCGCCCUGCGCGAGGAGCUCCUUGAACACGGCGACCAUGUCGGCCAUGAUCAGGCGCCGGAGCUUCGAGUCGAGGGCGCGAUCCAGCGCAUCAGCGCCGCGGAUCCGAGCGCGCUUGAGGGAUUGGACGGCGUUGAUGGCCUCGAUGCUGAGGUAGCGGCCCCUCUGGGUGGGCUUCCGAUUCUUGCUCCGGUCCCUCAUGGUGAUGACCAUCCUCCCCUUCCCCUUCCCCUUCCCCCACCCCUUGGUCGCGCCGUGGGGAAGGAGAUGCAGGGUUUCGGGAGCGCCAUUGUCGCGCAGAGCCGGGGAAGAGAGCAUGCUCCACCUCCGCACCCCUCUCUCUCUCUCCGCCGCCCCGACGGGAUUAGGGAUUUAGGAUAGGCCUUAGAGAGAGAAAGGGAGGGGGGCCGAAAAAGCCUGAGCACAGACGCUUGCGGUGGAGAGAAGUCGGCGGCGAAUUAACUUGAGCGGCCGACUCCCUGUAGAGCCUGAGCAUAGACGCUUGCGGUAGAGAGAAGUCGGUGGCGAAUUAACUUGAGUGGCCGACUCCAACGGGGAGUCGGCUAACUACCUAUUUGACAGAUAGAUUAUUAUUAUUAUAUCAUACAAUAUUUUGUGUGUAUUUUGCGAGCUGACCUCAUUUGCUUUGAUCGGUACUCAACAAAUUUGUCAGUGAUUCAGUUCAAAUUUGUGUUCGAUCCACAUCCAAAUCCAAUCAACCGAGAAGUAAAACAACAUUUAGCAUUACAUUGAUGAUUGAUUUCAAUCUAUACUAACACUACACCUCCUAGCUGCAAAUCUGCUGACAACAAUCUCACAAUCAGUGCAUUGCGAACCACCCUGUGACCCCCCGCAUACAACAGCUGAGACAUUACGACAUUACCUUGCUACGAAGACUAACUCGUUACAACACUCUUUCGCUUUUCCUUUUUUUUUUUUUCUCCCCCCCUUUUUCUUCUUUUCUCUUUGUGAGAGAUAAGAGAUCACUACAACACUCUACAGAUACUAACUAAUAAACAGACACACCCCACCUGAUGGAAACAGACAAGAUAGCAGCAAUUUCUACCCCUACAUACGCAUAACUAGUAUUCUCAGUUCACCUGCGGUGAAAGUUCUUUUAAAAAAGGGGCCGCUAUGGGGACUACAAGGAGACUCUUAAGCAUCUGUAAGUUACUUCCAGGGCAUGCUCGGCAAGCCCGGUUGGUUGCUGUGGUUAUACGUGCCGCCGGUGCUUUGAUUCAGCGGGCUUCCAGCCCCACCACCCGACGACUCGCUCAUCGUGCCUCGAGAGGGAGGACUGCUGGGCCCUGCUGGACCAACUGAGCCGAACAUCCCCGGGGCAGAUGCAAGAUCCAAAGGUUUUGGAUGCUUCUGCUUCGGCUGUUUCUUCCCGUCUGCAAUAAAGCUUCCCACAACCACCUGUUAAAACAAAUUAAUUAUUUGCUGCUCUUUAUUGAUUGAAAAAUAUAUACACUACAGAACCACGACGAUCUCAUUCGUUGCUACUCAUUCGUUGCUAGUUACUGAUGAAGCAUUUUUAUGGUGUGGCACAAAAUCCUCCAAUGGAAGAAAUUUCUAACGGAAGGGGGUGAAAUAUGUAGCUAACUGACAAUAGAAACGAAAUCUUAAUCGGAAGCAAAGAAUGAUAAGACACACCCAAGGUCAGACGAAGGGUAAAAUUUCAAUUGCAAAUAAUAAUAAUAAUAAUAAUAAUAAUAAGAAUUUCAAGUUAUGCAUGAACUUUAUGCUUAAUAGUUUUGAUAAUUCUUCAUGCUUUUACCCGAAUUCUUUUUCUUCCCUUUUUUUUUUUGGAGAAGUGUGUGUACAUUUGUAUUGCAGAUUUAGCUUGAAUCUCGCUUAAGAAGUACUAAUAAAAAUAUAGACACUUUGCAGCCAUUAAAAAGGUGUGAAUACAUUUUCUUUAAUAAAACUUCGCCCGGACAUAAUUAGGAUGAAUAACAGGUGCUCAUGAGAUUGAUAGAAGUUGUAGGGGUAUCAGCAUAUAUGUGUGUAUUCAUCUAUAAUUUUAUUAUCCUGACAAAAACCCAAUUUAGGAAAACAUUAGGUCUCUAAUGAAACUUGAUGGACUUUACAGAAAAAUAAAAGCAAUGAAAGCUUAGGCAGUAAAAUCAAGUUCUUCAAAUUUUAGAUAACUAUUUAUGAAAUGCCCUAGUACAGGAAAGGUUCAUAAGUUCUAACCAAAAAGAUAAGUACCUGGACUGGUGAUGCCGCAGUGAGGAGUCCUGCCACUCCACCACCCAAGACACGGCCAUCGGGACCCGCCAGUGAAACACUCAGCCCACCAGUUCGACUCCGCUGACCACCACUCUCUGACAGCAGAAAUGAGCCAGACAAUGACAAGAUCUCAAACCGGCCCUGCAUACGACAUUAUGGAAAUUUCAUCUGAUGCAAUAACACAAUCUCCAACAACAAUGAGAAUUAGUCCUUAAUCAGCGGAAGACUAUAUUUCCUGCAAUCAACUUACAGGUCAAAACCAAUUUCUGGUGAACAAGAAGCUGAAUAUUACAGUAGCUACGCUUUUUCAAAAAGAUGUUAAACUUCUGUAGCUGAAUAUUGUCUUGUUUAACAUAUUUUGGCUUCUGUCUCUCAAAAAUAUGCAGUACUGAAGUAAAAAAGAAGAACCAUCCUGCAUGCACAUAACUACUAACAAACUGCAAUAAUCUCAAGUACCACUUAACAUUCCACGCAAAAAGUGGGGAAAAAGCAAGUUUAAACGGAGACCCAAACUAUAUACAAGCUUGCCCCCGGAGUGAAGGAAUCAGAUUCUAUCAGGUAUUAGUAUCAUCAGUCAGAAAGUACAAACCUCAUAUGUUACUGUGCCACCAGAAGUUGCUGCUUGACGAAGAGUCACAUUUGAUAUAGCACCAUUUGCUGAAAGUAUACAAACAGCCCGUGGUCCUUGCUGAGAAAAUGACAUUAUCUUUGAUGAUACAUCCUGAAAGAGCAGAGUUUCAAACAUUUACUGGAAUAUGAAAAGACAGAAAGUUAAUCUCACAAACAAGCAUCUCACAACAAAUACAAUUCAUAGCAUUUGUUAUUUUGGUCAAAUUCGAUACAGGACCACGAACCUAGAACGGUCUGAUUAAUAAAUGAGGACAGACCACGCAAACUGCAGUUAGAUUGAAAGAUUUUUAAGUCAAACCAACAUUAAAGCAUAUAAAAAGCUGAAAUUGUUGACGCUCAUUUAGCAGAAAAAAUGAAAUAUUCUUUAAGUCGCAUUUUGCAUGACUUCGAUGCAGCCGUAGAAGUGUUAAAAAUGUUACUGAAAGGAGUAAAUACAUUAGGAUUAUUGCCAUAUGGUGUGUCCACAUUAGCGGGUUAUGAUUUAACCCCAUUCACAUAAGACGUGGAUCAUGAUUUAUCCUAAUAAGUUUAGGAUAAGAAUGAAUCAUAUGUUUCUUAUCAGUUAAGAAAUAAGGAUAAACGUUCACAAGCAAUAUAGUAGCAAAAUCAGCCAUAAUCUUGUUUAUAGUAAAAGUAAGUAAACCAGUGACUAUCUCAACAGAAAUUAGUUCAGAGAAAUCACACUUUCUUCACAAUAUGGACUACAUGAACAAUCAGGAGAGGACAAUUAGACUUGAACAAAAUUUUGAAACUUAGGGGUUCGAAUAUGACUCAAGUGAAAAACAAAGGAGGAUUUUGAUAGCAAAAAACAGCAACAACGUAGAAUAUUUUAGAAUAUUUAGAUACCUCUCCUGCCUUAACAGUAAUAAUAUGUGGAAUAAAUCCAAUCCCCGCUGAUCCUGCAAAAUGGCAUUCUGUGUGAGAACUGAUUCUGCAAAACUAAGAGACAAAUUUAUGCCUACAGAAUAAUAAUAGAGAAAGUAAUGGCAUAACCGAUCCAAGAAAUUUAGCUGAACUUCAGUGGACAACAUAAUAAACAAUCAGCACGGGGCAGCUUAUCAAUCUAGAUUCUAGACAAAACCAAAGAAAAUAUCUAUCUAAUAAAACAAAGAGAAUUGUACGAAUUAAUUGCAAUUAUUAUUUGAAAUGCUAUAAAAUUAGACUAUAAUAAUUAAUUUUAUUACCUGGGGAAGAAAAAAAUGAGCCUAGGAAUACCAAAAUCAAUAUGCCAUCUCCACGCAUAAGAUAACUGAAUAUUACAUUAUUAAACUAAAUAAAGAACUCAGGUAGUUAUCGUUAAAACAAUGAUUAACGAAAUUGUGUAAUCCUCCAACAGUAGUAAAUACUAAAGGGCACAGGCGUAAUUUUCUCAGUUGUUCUUUCCCCCUUACUCCAAGAUCUCCCCUCCACACAUAUUGCCGCAGAAAAGUCUUAUCUACGUUUCCGGUAGAGCCAAGCAAAAUGAAAAAAAAAAAAAAAAAAAGAAGAAAUGGAAAGAACAUUCGAUAACCAACAAACUACCUACACUGUAAGCAGGCAGAAAAUGGUAAAAAAGAGAAUGUACCAAGAGCCGCCAUCUGAAGCUUCCUGCCGGAACCUGGCGGCCUGCCCCGCGCCUUCUUUACAGCAUCAGGAGAUGCAGAAGCCGCCAGAUUCGCCAUCCCAGCAGAGGAAGGCGAGAACCCAGAAUGCGACAUGUGUCCUUGCAGAGCUGAAGCAGACGGUGACGGUGACGCAUGUCCCAGCGCCAGCGCCAUGCUGCCGUCUGGCCCGUACUUCCUCGGCCGCCCCCGCUUCCGCUUCAUCACCGGCUCUCCCGCUCCCACAUUGAUAGUGAGCCCGUGCGGCGGCAGAGGGGCCGCUGCCGCAGCGCCCUCACCGCCGCCAUGUUGGAAGGGAGAGGGCGGAGAGGUGGAGGCAAUGGGUUUAUAGAUGGCGCCAGCGCCGUCCGGGGGGUUGGGGCCGAAGGCCAAUCGCGGGCUCUGCAUCGACGGCUGAGAUUGGACGGGGCUUUUCUGCAUGCCCACGCUGAACAGCUCCCUGCUCAACAUGAUUAUUCCUGGCUCAGAUCUCUCCACUUCCAUGCACUGCGCCGCAAUUACAACAUCUACUAAACACCACCAUCACCACUAGGAACAAAACACUCCUCUCUGAUCUCUCCUCCAGCAAACAAAGGAGAGCCAAACUUUUGGAAAUUUCUUUUUUGUUUUGUUUUGUUUUUUUGUUUGUUUGGGUUUCACUAGGCGUUUCAGAUUCUACUCUGAUCCCAGAAAAUAGCAGCUAAAUCAAGUAGGAAUCGCUCAAAAGAUGCGAUUUUUACCGAGAAAAUUUUACUGAAACAAGCUCAAACACUGCCACUGAGACUGAGCUGUGAAACUUACAAAAAACGAAGCUCGCUAAAAAUCCGCUCUUUUUCGCCGCAAUUCCAGCAGCAGCAGUAGUUACAGCAUCAAUACAUAAUAACUUUUACUGUACGAGUAAGGACUAAGGAGCAUAAAGAAAUUAGAAGAAUUAACAUUAAGAAGAAGAUACAGGGGAAGAAGAUAAAACCCUAAUCCUAACAUAAGACCAGAUGAAAUUUAAAAAAAAAAAAAAUCGAUGACGUAAAAACACCCUAAGCUUAAUAAUAAUUGAGUAAAUAAUCAGAGAAAUUAAAGGCCACAUCUCUCCGAUAAUUUCACAAAAAUUCCUCCUUUUUCCCGAAUUUCACAGGAAAUUUCACGAAAUUCUCGAAAUUUCCAGAUAAAAGCCGGAAAAAAACCGAAAAACUGAGAUAAAAGGUUUUUUUUUUCAAAAAAAAGGACAAAUAAAAUCCGAAGGACAAAAAAAAGGGGGAAAAAAAAAUAACCAACCUUUAAUUACCGGAGAGCUCGGAGCAGGGGGUGGAGAAAAUUGGGGAAAACCAAGUUCUAAAAAUUUCGCUCUUAUCCUCAACAAAUUUUCCCCUCUUUUUCUAUUUUCCCCACAGAGAGAGGCAUUUAAUAAUUGCGACAAGAAAAAGGCACCUAAAGCAGGCCAAAAUUGCUUUGGAAACAAAAUUAUUUAUAUUAAAAAGCACAAUAAAUUAAUUAUAAUAAUAAUCUCCAGUAACACGAAGCCCCCUCCACACUAAUUUAAUUACCUCCCCAUUCUUUUCUUUUCCCCCGUAAUUUUCUCGCACUUAAAUGCACUUGAUGGUCCAUUUAAUUUAAUUUAAUGCUUUGAUUUGGGACCCCUCUGCAAAAAUCCGAGUGACGCCCAGUUGUGGCCCUGACACGUGGACCUUUUUCUUUCUUUUUUUUUACGUGGGCCCCACAUGUCAGCUGCACAGAAGCGUGAACUAGCGUUACAUGGGAGACUGUGCUCGUCGGGUACGGUGAAAAAAAAAGGAAUCACAAAAAGAAAACCAUUUUCUAAAUAAAAAAAAGUAAUUAGAAAUUAAAGAAUCCAAUUGAGUUCUAAUUUUUUUUAUGAUUUAAUUAUACGCAAAAAAAAAAAAAAUUAGCAUUAAUUGUAGCUCGUCAAAAUUUAUUAGCAACUUCGACCACUGUUUGAGGAUCAUCAAGCAAAGAAUUAUUAUUUCCACUGUAUGUAUUCUUAAUUUGUUUAGAAUAAAAUUUGUUUGUAUAUGAAGCAAUCAAGGUGUGCUCCCAUGCAUUAAUCAUUUGUAUAAGUCUUUUCCUUUUUCUCUUUGCUAAUCACCAACGCAUACUGAAAUUAUUGACCCUUCUGAGAAGUAGACAAUAAGUCUCCUCUCGACCUUUUCUGAUAAAAUAAAAUAAUCUAGAUAUGUCAUAGCCUACGAGUACCUAAACUGUACCACAAUAUACAUAUAUAUAUAUAUNAAUUAAUGCUCAAUAUAUUAUACAAGUUUUUUUUUUUUUUUUCCAUUUGUUCAUGACAAUUCUACAAAAUUUUGGUUGGAACAAAAGUAUCUAUUUUACAAAAUAGUUGAAGUACGCAACAAGGAAGUGUAGAAUUAUUUGGAAAAAUAGCUCUAAAAUGAGGUUGGUAAUGAAAAUGAUACUAGGAAUAAGAAUAGUAGAAUAUAUACUUUUAGUUAUAAUCAUCAUUUUAGGUGUAAUCAAGGUGCUUCUUAUUAUGUUGCUUGUAAAUAAUUAAUGCUUAAUUCUGGCAAAUGACAUUACAAUAUAGUUUUGUCAUUAUUACGAUCAAAACAAGUUAUUUUGAUACAAGAAAGUUCAUAUAUAAUUUGGCCUUAACUAAUUGAAGUCCAUCCGAUGCUAAUACAUGAAAUAGAAUUAGGACGGAAGCAUAUAGAAAUAUGCUUCUAUAUUUUUUAUUUUGGACCGCAAAAAAUAUAGUAUAACCGCCUUAAAGCGAUAUAAAAAACACGAUAUUAUAUAGAAAAAUAAAUAAAAUACUUUUUCCGUAUAUUUUACUGCCCAUACCGCAAUUUCUUCGUAAUUCUUAAAGAUCCCAAAAGUAUUUUCUGAAAGAAGUUAUCAAAAUUAAAAUCUUAAAAAAUUUAUGCAUUAAAAUUUCAAACCCAAUUUUAUAACAAACUUUAAAAAGAAAACUAUAAGAAAAUAUAAAAUUUGCUGAAUAAUAAAGAGAUUGAAAAUUUUAAAAACAUUAUAGUAGAAACAAUAUUGUAAUUUUCUCAUCUUACAAAAUUUCUAAAAAUUAAGAAACUUUUUAAGCUGUUGAUGAUGUUGCUUGUAUAUAUAUAUAAAAAAAAAGAAAAAAAAAAAGAAAAAAAAAAAAAGCCAUAACAACUCUGACUUUUCUCAGGCCUGUCGACAAUAUAGAAAUGGGGUUGGGGGUUGGGCUUAUCCUGAAAUCAAAGUAAAGGUAUCAUUAAAUUUCUUAAUUGUAAAGGUAAAUACAUAACAUUUUCACAAAUAAUGAGGACCACUCUCCUCUUUUCAGUGAGGAAUCUUUUGAGGCAGCUGAGGAAAAAGAAGAAAGUUGAUGGAGGCUCUUCUAGGAAUUCAAUGAAGGCUUGGAAUUAAUUCAUCAAUCCAAUGGAGUAAAAUAAAAAGUAGGAGAGAAAUCGCAGAAGCUAUAAUUAAGGUGGCCUUUGUUAUUCUGGGGAGAAUUUAGAUUCGAUGAGAAGCAUGCCAAAAUAGGCGCAGUGCACCUGUGAGUUAGGUACUCAACCAAUAGAAUUAAAUUAAAUUAAUGGUGGGCUUUAAAACCAAAAAACCCAAAAAAAAAAAAAAAAAGGAAAAAGGAAAAAAAAAGAGAAAGGUGAGAUUGGUAACUUGGUAUCAGGGAAAAGGACAAAGGGCAAAUACCAUGUGAAACCUUAUCAAUUCAUCUCACCUUUCUCUUUUUCUUUUUUUUUUUUCCAGUUAAUUUACAAAAAUAUCCUCCUGUCUUAAUUACUUCUUGCAGAAGAAUUAAAAAUUUGUUUAAAAAAAAUCAUAUUUCACUAAUUCAGAAAAGCAUGCCACUUUAUUAGUGCGCAUGAAAAUAUAUAUGUUUCUCCCAGUCUGGCUUAUUUAAGAAAAUAAAUAAUAUCGAAAAUAAUAAGUAUUUAUAAAUUUAUGAAUUGGGAACCGGAUGUUUCCUGUCGCGCCACAUGGCGGGCGGGCGCGAGGGGGCAGGCAUGAGGGCGCAAGCGGGCGCGGGAUGGCGCGCGGGCACGCGGGCGCGAACCAGCGGCGAGCGGAUUUUUUUUUUGGAUUUUUUUUCCUGUGGGACCCACUCCUCUCUCUCUCUCUUUUGCUUUUUUUUUUCUUUUCUAACUUUCUUAUUUUGUAGUGUUCUUUAUCACAUACAAAAAACAAAUUUUAAAAAUUAAAAUUAAAAUUUCAAACCGAAUCUCUUUUUAUUUUAAUGGGUUGUGGCCGCAUAUAGAAAUUGAAAUUUUGUAUUUAAAGUUAUGAACUGGGAAAACAAAAAUUGUACGGCAAUUUUUUUCGUGAUCGGGGGCUUCGGCAGAGCCCACAACGCGCAAGUUUUAUAUUUAAAUUUAAAAUUUGAAUUUAAAUUAAAAUUUAAAUUUUAAAUUGAAUCUAAUUUCUAAUUUCAAACUUAAAUUUUUUUUUUGAUUUUAAUACUUUAAUUUAUAUAUAAAAUUUAUAAAUAUAUGAUUUGGAAAUCAAAAGAGCUCUCUUUAUUCGGAGGAUUUUGGGGGUCCCACUUUUUUUUUUCUCUUUAAUUGAGGGUCGGUUGUAUCAUUUGUUCCAACCUUUGCACAAUUUUUAUUUUAGUUUCUAUUUUUUUUUUUUUUUUUGCAAACAUAACUUGGGAUAUUUUGGAGUAUGACUAAACACCGAACCCUAAAUCAGAUCAGAUUAGAUUUUGAGUUGUGGUCGCCGUAUGCUGUGAGGCCUGUCUCGACGAUUUUUUCGAAUAAGUCGUCGGUAAUUAUAAUAAUAUUAUAUAUAUAUAAUUUUUAAUAAUAAUAAUUUAUUAUAAUAAUAUUUUUUUGCCGCAUCGCGCGUCCACUUAACUAGUAUAAUUAACUAGAGAAUAGUAAGUAUAUAAGUCUCACUCUUUAUGCAUGGAUCGCUUGGCGUGGCAAGAAACUAGUCAACUAUCUAUAGUAUCCAGUAGCCUAGCUCCAAAUGAAAAAAAAAAAAAAAUCUAUAAAAUUAGAAAAAAAAUAUUUUUCCUAAAAAUUAAACAAAUGAAAAAUAUUUUUCUGGUUAGAAAUUGUGAAACAACCAUUGUGCCGAUACUAUAUAAAACAACUGUUAUACUCUAAAAAUCUAAACGAUUAAAAAAUAAAAUUUAUAUAUUUUUAUAUUUAAUAAAAAUUUUUUCUAAAUAUAUUUCGGACGACCAAAUACUAACUUAGGGAAUGAAGGUGUGUCUACAGACAUUUUCUAUGUUUUUUUUUUUUUUUUUUUUUCCUUUUUUACCCCAGAAAAGACAAACUGUAUAGGGACCGCAAUGCAAAUUCCCACAAUAUUGGGGUGUUCAGUGUUGCGGUAGUGUACUACAUAAAUAUCCUCUCUUUUUUUUAAAAUUUUUUUUUUUUUUCCUCUUUUGUAACCAACCACUAAUUAGUAACGGUCCGAAACCAACCAACGAUAUCCGGAGGAGUUAUGGCCUCGCUUCGGUUACCCACCACUCAUCCUCCUCGCCGCGCUCCCGUUCCCGCCGGCGCCAAAGGUUCCCUCUUCCCCCCGCGAAAACCCUAACCCUAACCCUAACCCUAACCCUAACCCUUACUCGCCGCCUCUCCGAUCUUAAGCUUUUCAUUUUGCCCCAAAUCUUCAGGAACGCUCCGAUGCCGAAGCGCGCCGACCCGAUCACCCAACAACAACCCCGUAGAUGGAGUUAUGAGGCAGUAGCGUUCGUUCCCAAUACCUUAUUUGGUGAUGAACUGAGCUCCGAUUUGGGAGAUUUGAUGUUGUUUUUUGGUACUUGCGAUUUGUUUGCAGUGUUGUUGGAUUUAACGAGGGACUGCUGGGGGCGAUCAAGAGGAGGGAGGCUCUGCUUCAGACCUUCCUCUCUGCUGUUUCUUUCCCGCUUAUCAUACCUACAAAUGAUGCCUCAGCAGAGACUGGUAGCUACUAACUGGAGUGCUUUACUUUGUUUUCUCUCGCUUCGUGAGAUGCACAUAGCGUUGAAUUGGAGCACUAAUUGGUUGUUUGUUUUUUGGGGGAUCAUUAGAUCUGCAGGAGAAUUUUCGGAUGUACGAAGAUGAAAUGAAUAAGUUUCGGAUAUUAGUCCCGCAAGGUGAUUAUUUUAUAACACCAUUCGUGUUUGUUUUGCAAUUGUCCCGCCUCCAAAAGAAAGGAAGAGGAAAAAUUAAAAGCUUGUCGUAGAUUUAAUGUGCGUGAUUUUCGUCAUUCAGCGUAGUGUUGUGGAAAUGGGGACACACACACACACACGCGCGCGCAUAUAGAUAGAUAGAUAGAUAGAUAGAUUGAAUGAGUCUAUUCCGAAAGAUUGAGAAGAAACUAUUGCCCGCACCUAACACAAGGAUGGCACUAGUGCUUUCGAAAGAACCGGGACAUAUCAAACAAAAAUACAAGUCUAUCGGAAACCACGUAGCAUAAAAGAGGUUGUCGAGUGCUUCAGUAGAGUAUUUUUUCACUAGUAGAGCUGAAUCGAUGAAAAGAUUCACUUCUUCGGGCUAAAGGCUAAGUCAUUGUUGCUCUGGAUUACGGAAAAAGAGAAGGUCAUGCUAUAUGACACUACUGCAUCCUUGCAAUUGAUGAACUUGGUUCUGUCCCAAAGAAAAACUCUUAUCACACUAAUCCACUGUGCUAUAUGAUACUAAUGCAUCUUUCAAUAAGGGAGUAGGGGAACUUUGUUGCAGAUUGGUUAGCCGGCGCUGGAGAAGCCAGUGGGAUAAAGUCGGUAACAGCAUUCUACCCUGAAGAGGCUUCCGAUUCUAAUGGUACUACUCCGCAUGCAUCCCUCAAGUCAACUACUCGGGUUUGAUUGCUUUUAAUUUUAACUUUUAAAUGGGGUUUUCUUUCAGUCAGCAUUGUGAUCACGGGAAUUGGCCCAGAUUUUACCAGAUUAGAAUCAUUUGGUUCUGUCGAUGCUUUUGCAGAAAGUUUGGUGGGUAUUUACUUUAUUCUAAUUGUUCCCAAACAAUGCUUUCGUCUAAUACUCCUGCUGUGUGCAUCGAGCAGGUGAAUGGGUUAGACAGGAGCUGGCAAAGACCACCGGGGCUUGCAGCAAAACUCGUAGACUCUAAAGCAGCAAAUGGUCAUAUUCUCUAUAUACAAAAUUCUUUACUUGAUUUCCUUCUGAAACCAGUUUAUAUAUACAUAUCGAACGAUGUAGUAGUAGUUCUUGCCGUUUGAGGAACGUUUACAGUUUUUCAUAUGGACAGGGUUGUAUUAUCUAGAGUAUACAUUGCAAAAUCCUGGUGAAAAGCGCAGGCACAUACUCUCGGCUGUUGGAAUGGCAUCCAAUGGCUGGUACAAUCGACUCUAUACCGUCACAGGCCAGGUAACUACUGAACUAUUGCUAUGGAGAAUGCCUUUUCUUUUAUUGAUCUCUCUUAUCUUUAAUGGAUGAACCUCAAAUCAACACUAGAGACUAACUAAAUGUAGCAAAUGUGAGCAGUACAUGGAGGAUGAGUCGGAAAAAUACCGUCCCAAAAUAGAGAAAGUAAGUACCAUAUGAACUCAGACAUAUUUUCUGAUUUAUUUUUUCCGUUGAUGCUGAGCCUCCUGCACCUGCAAUUUGGAGGUGGUCUCAUCAUUCAGGUUGGUAGAAGGAAACAAUUAGAAAUUGCGGCAGUACUACCAUUUUUUUUCUUUUCCGGUACUGGGCGGAGGAGUCGGUCGCUUGGUGAUUCUUUUUGGCUUUGUUGGAAUCUGCAUGCAGCACCUAAGGAAGUAAUCUGUUAGUUAUGCUUUUUGUUUCGUGAUUUGGAAUCUGCAUGCAACACCUAAGGAAGUAAUCUGUUAGUUAUGCUUUUUGUUUCAUGAUUUUGAAGCCUCUACAAUACCAGGCCUAUUGCCUCUGACGCGUUGAGUGUUAUCAUGUGGUAUAUAUUAAAUUCGAAGCUAUAGUGUAAUUCCUACACCGAAUACGUUGGACAUGAGCUGCGAUUUUUCUUCUUUGUUUGUUCUCCUACAUUUGAACAGUUGUGAUUUUAUUCUUUGGGCUUAUGGGUCACAAACAUGCGGAGACCUAAUAGAUUUUCUGAUAGCAACUUCUGUCCCUUUAUCCAUUUUUAUGGGGGGCAAUUUAAUUUUACUCCGAAGGGUCAUCAUAAGAGUGGUAAUAUAAUUAUUAUAGUUGCUUCAAUACUAAACUGAAAAAUGAAAUAACAUAUUUGCUACAUUACUGUUUGUCUACGGAAGCAAAAAGUAAGUUGAAUGCUUCAGUACGACUUCAAAAGGAAAAUGUCCACUACACAAACGCAUCAUUACAAAGACUUUAAACAGAAUGAAAAUAGUCAGUGAUACAAUGGUUCAAAGCUUUACUUUGUCAAGCAAGAAGCACAGCAAACAAAUGGAAGAUCUAAAACCAGAAACAUGAAAAACAGAAAAAAAAUAAAAAUAAAAAUAAAAGGUUUCAGCACAAAGCAAUUAUUUUAGGAAGUAAAAAACUGGUACAUAUAAAACAAGACACUUAUCCCUUGCCUAAUAUUAUAUACAGCAAUGAGCUUCCCUCUGAUUGUAUUGCCCUCUGAUUGUAAUCCAUGGAAUAAGAUGAGCAGCUUGAAAAAUCUGAACUUUCGAGGCUGAAGAACCUCUUUAACUCAUCUCACUACUACUCCCUCAGCAACCAAGUUCAAGAAGUUUCUUGAAGGCGGUAGAUUGUAAUUUCUUGCUGCUUGAAGUAUCGCCGGUCCUCCUCAUCCACGAGCACAAGAUUCAGGUAAUACUUGACGCUAAAUUUGUUAUUAAUGUUGCGGUAUGUUGGAGUUAACUCAUAGGGGCUUAAGAACAACCUUAUUGGAAUAGAUUCCCCUGCAGUAUAAUAAAAGGAAAAUGUAGCCAUAUUACUGAGAUGUUGAUAUUCGGCCAAAGUAAAAUACAGCAUCUGGUCUAUCUGAUGAGCAAUACCAACCAAGCAAUAUCACUGAACACAACAAAAUAGAGAAGCAUAUGAUUUGAGCGGAUUUUUUCUUUUAAAUAAAGAGCAGAAUAUCUGGUUAUAAGAUGGAAAGUUCAUUCUUAUAAGUUGAUGAUAGUGUGCUUUUCUGUGCUUUUUAUCCCAGCAAUAUUAGAAUAAAAACUGCAUUAUAAAGAGAAAUCUAACAAUAAGUUUCAAUAAGUUUGUAUGAAAACUCUAAAAUUUCUGAACAGCAAACUAAUUCUGGUGUGUAUUACACAUUUCUUACAAAAAAACUCCACGGGAGCUUAGCUUAGACAAAAUUUUAAUAUCUAAAGCAAUAAGUAAACUAAAUUAUGAGUCUUUGUACGGUACUGCGACAAGCAUUGAAGUACCACUUCGCACUCCCAGAUAUUCAUGAUGCAGCACAAGAUCAAAUAUUAAAAUUUGGAAAAAUCGAGUUGGGUAAUGGGUACACAUGUUGGAGUAAAAAAAAGGACAAAAGAGGGGGGAAAAAAAAAAGAAAAGGGUCAUAUAUAUCGCAUACCUCGAACAGGAGCACCAUCCAUUAACUCAAACUUUGCAAGGGUCUCAGUCUCAACAUACGUAUUAGGCCCUGAUCCAGUGGACUCACGGCGUCUAAUCUCAAGUUCCAUGUUUUUUAUUUUAAUUCUUACCAGAAGGAAGUAUAUCUUUCCUAUAAUAACGUCCUUUAGAUGAUACCUGGAUAAGAUUGGUUCCACAUAUAAGUAAGCAAAGGCUCCAUACAGGGUAAGAAGUGAACGUUCGCACAUAGAAAAAUAUUGCACAACAUACUUGCUUUUGUUGUACUCAAACUCGAUGUGUAGACAAUCUUCAAUUCCAACUUCCAUCUGAAAAAUAACAAUUCCAAUCAGACAAGGUUCCACCAGUUGUCAUUCUCAGCCACUUAUUUUCAGUUGCCAUUCUUAGAAAAUAAUAGAUGAGGUGGGUUUGGUGAUUGGUCCCAUAUGGUCAAAAAUCAUUAAUCAUUUCUAUAAAUGGCUCAAUACUAUUAAUGCACUGGGUGAGCUCUAACAACAAAAAUUACCUUAAUGCUGUUGUUAAUUGUCGGUUGGGGGCUGUAAUUUCGCACCUGUUAAAAGAAAAAUAGCAACAAAUAAAUAAUGGCAAACUGAACCAAAUAUACUAAUAGAACUUUGCAGUGUGAAGCUUCAUUACUCAUAAUAUUCAUCCUCAUUUACACAACAGCUAUCAUAGUCUUGUACAAUGCUCCUGUAUUUCACAGAAAGAUCUUUAAUUUUCUUAUGUUGGCAAAUUUUGUGAGUCAGACAUCUGUGUACAGCUCUUCUUCUCGGUAACAUAGAUGAAUAAAUCAGUGACAAUACUUAAUUAAAUGCUUUGGAAUUUUAAUCCUGAUUCUGUAACACAGGUUAUAAACAUUUCUUUCUCUAGCAAAAUGCUAAACUGUGGACAGAUUGUUCUAACAACAAUGUACGAAUUAAUAUAGCCAUAUUACAUGAAAGCUUCAAAGUUGUACAAAUAGAGAAUACACAAUAACUACCUAGAAAAGCUGCAAGCGGACACAUGUAGCCAGGUUUCUCCAUAAUACUAUCUUUUUAUUGAAACCAUAGAAUCUCUUUUCUUUUAAAACCUAUCAUAUCUUGAUAUGAAAGUCACUUAUAAACACUUUUACCAAUAAAUUAUACAUUACAUAUAAAAUGAAUGAUGUAUUUAUCUCAAGAGAAUACAAUAUUCAUAGAAGAGGAUGAGUUGAUAGACAUAAUAUACCAAUCCAUUUCUGCUCCAAUUAAAUGAUCACUAUAAUUACAUAAGCAUAAACAAUAAGACACCAUUUUAUUCAUAUAAAGCCAUUUCAAAAUGGUUCUUCACAAAAUAAGUAUUAUAGACUUACACAAAAAUCCCGGUAUUCCACGAUAUUGCUGACAUAAUUUCGACUGAUUGUGACCUUUAAAAUGUACCUGCAGUAUCACAGGGAAUAUCAGCAGAGUUGAUAAAUCGAAGCAUCACAUAACUCGGGUUUUUUCUGAAGUUAGAAACAAUUUACUGCAAAGUUUUUAUUCAACUUCACAUACAAGAAUUUCAGGCUAUGGUGUGCCAUAAAGUGAAACAAAACCAACGAGUCAUGGGACUUUGGGAAAAAAAUAUCAAUAUCAUAACAACAUAUAUGAUAGCAAUCCAAAGAGAUUCAAAUCUAAAAAGCAUUUAUGUGGAAAGCUAGUGGUGGAAAAAAAAAAAAAUUCUGAAUUCACUCUAUGGAACCCAAGAACUGAACUUGAGAAACUCUAAGAAUUAUCUCAACAAAAAUUAAGCAACAAGAACAACACCAAUAAUUUCCAUGUAGGUCGCUGACCGUCCCUAGAGCAAAUGGCGAAGGGCUUGAUAGUUGGUACCGAGGUCCCAAGUUCGAAGCCUAGCAUUUCCAACUAAGUUCAUUUCUAAAAAAAUGAACGAAGCAGGUAGCAUGCUACCUCUCUCUCUCAAAAAUAAAUAAAUAAAUAAAAGAUCCCAAGUCAGCUAGAUGGAUCCCAUUAUACCAUCUAGCUCUAUAUUCAGUAAGAUCCUUUAUUAAAUAUACUUAUAUAUCAAAUAUCACCAAAAAAUUUUACAGCUAAUGAAAGCAAGAAUGCCAUGCCAUGAUGGAAAGCAUAAAUUAUUGUUCAACUUCAAGAUUGGAAAAGAUAACAGGUUAAUAUGUUCAUAAAUCUGCUAAACAUAGCACAACAACCAGACAAAUGAGGGUGAAAAGGAUUACAAGACGAGGAUUAAACUCAUCGAUAAUCUUAUUCUUCCUUCAUAGUGAAGAUUCAUCAGUUUAUAAUGUAAAAGGCCAAGCAAAAUAACAAACAGCAUAUCACCAAAGCUCAUUUCUGUGGGCAAAAAUUCUAUAAGGUGGCCCAUAUAGAAGUUAUUAUUAGGGGGGAUUGGAUGCCAUGCAUCCAACCCCUCCCUUAAAAGUUAAAUCUCAUCCAUUGAUUGAAGUUGUACUUUUUGGGGAACGAAAAGUACAACUUCGAUCAAUGGGUAAGAUAUAAACGGGUUGGAUGAAGGGCAUCCAACCACCCUUUGUAUGGUUAUCUGUAAGGGCCACCUUUUGGAAUUUUUUUUCAUUUCUGGGUCACAUAAAAAAAGUUUUGAAAAUUAAAAAUAUAACAGCAGAAUCAAUGAAAAAGGCUAUAAUUGAUACACGUUUCAUGCAUAGCUACAUACAAAACAACCAAGCUCUAUUCACUAAGAGAUCCAUAUUUAUACAAGCAAUUACAUACCUCAGUCUCACAUUUGUUCCAUUAUAGGAUUCAUAAGGCAUUUCAACAGAAGAGAACUCAAAUGGGUAUGUUUUCUUUUCAUAGAUUUCACCAGGAACAUCUAAUUCACGCACUGCAAAGAAGAACAAUAAUACAUUCAACAUAGGAAGAUAUUGCAGAAAGCAAUGAGAAUAUUGAAAUGAUUGAUUAGGAUUUUUGGGGAUAUCUAAAGCAUUUGACACUCGAUUGAAGUUCUAGCAGUAAACUUCUCAUAUUUGACAUUUCCUCCAGCAAACGCUGUAUUGUUAUGAAAAGUAUGCUGGCACUGUAUGGAAUACUACAAUAAACUGAAAUUAUGGCAAACUAGAAGUACAGGCAAGUUCAUGGAAGAUAGAAUUAAUACCAUGAGUGGCAGAAAUAUAAACAUCUAGAGGGUAGUAAACUUUAUUCGAAGAAGACAGCACCUAUAUAUGUGAGCAGUUAUUUCGAAGAGAACCAGUGAAACACAUGAUAUGGUCGGUGCAUCUAGAUGGCUUACAAACUACUUAUCAAGAGAAUAAAAGGUAUGAGCAAAAAAAAUCAACUCCUAGACUCCAAAUAAUCAUUGCUGAUGGUCUUUGUUUCGGUAUAUGCAAUCGAAACUGCAUUUUUGCCUAUAAUAGAUCCAUCUAGUCAUUAAUAAACAGCAUAUGAACUGAUCUACUGAUGCCAUAAGGGAGAUAUUGAAGACUAUUUAGUUUCGAUAAUAAAAAUGCAAAACUGAUAAAGCACUAGAGCAAUGAAAGCAAUUCUAAGUUAAGUCAAAUAGGACAAACUUUUCAGCUUUUCACUCAAACUAGUUAUGGAAAACGUUAUUGAAUCUUGUAAAGCAAUGGCAACAAAACUAGUUACAUGAUUUUCGAUAGUAAGUCCUUUUUUUUUUCUUUGAUAACUGCACAUAUUACAUUUGAAAUAAGUGAGAAGGUUCUCUUUUCUUAUUAUACUCACCUAAGGAGGUAAAGUCAUAAAAGUUGCCUCUGUCGAAAUACAGUUCUGCAUCAAUAAAGUGAAAAAGUGAGUUUUUAGUAUAACAAAGAUUUGGCAUUCAACUGGAACUAAAAGAAAAUAAAAGCACUGAUCAAAAAAGCAUACCUAUCUGACCAAGAAGCUCAAUCUUAACACCAGUGUGUUCAACCUUUUUUCCUUGAAUAGGUUCUAUGGCCACCUGUAUGGGAUUCAUUCAAGCAAAAAAGCAUAACCAGCAUUAGAACAUUUAGAAGCAUCUAAUAGAAUAUCUAUAGUUUCAGUAUUCAUACCUCCCCAACUAUGUUUUCAAGACUCUGGAAAACAGGGACCAUUGCUGUCUUACCAUUAUCCUUCUUUAUAGAAGCCUACAAAUACAAAGAAACAGUGUGUUGGCGGCUUUGGGAAAAAGAGGUUCCAGAGUGGGCGUGCAAUAAGACAAUAAAUAUUUGUAAGAUUCACCAAAGAAUGCAAACUCAGCAGAUGACCAAGAAAGUUAUUUUGGAAGAACCAAUGCUACUGAACAUCUCCUCUGUGAUCCUGCUAUCCUAGCUACCUAAACUAUGACCAUUUAUAUAGAAACAUCCAACUACUAUGAACUGCAUCUUUUGAUCCAACUACGAUGCAAUGGAAUGUAUGCAUUUUUUCAGAGAUGCAUUCAAAAGCAAAUUUGAAUCACUAGCUUAAAAUGGAUAAUUAAAGAUUUCACCUGCUUUCGUGUUUUGCCAUCGGAAAAUGUGAUCGCAAUGUUACACGGUGGCUUGAAAGCUCCAAUAAGGUAAUUCUGAAAUACAAAAAUAAAAGCUCUUCAUGAAUAAACAGCAGUGAACCUAUUCUAAAUUACAUAUGGAGGGAUGCGAUCUCGUGUUGACAGAGCUAGAGCAAGAGAAAAAAAGGAAAAAAAAAGGUCUUACCAUUCUUUCAGGAUCAAGUAGAGAACGAAAAACUCAACAAAACGGUCUGCAACAAAAGAUACAAUUAUAUGAACCGCAUCAGCUAUUUUAUGUAAGAUAUAUUUAGGUUUAAGAUUUGAAAAACUGCUAGGAUUCAUCAAUUAGCUACCCAAUAACCUAAUAAGACUACAUCGAUAUCUCUAAUUCCAAUUGCUGCACGAACGAAAUAAGAUCGAAUUCGAAUAUGAAGGGGAUCUGAUAGUGCGCGUACUUGAAUUGGGACGAAAUCGAUCAACGGAAAAUAGGUACAGAGAAUCGAGUAAGAAUCCUAAUUCUAGGGAUACAGAAAUAAACCUUCGCGAGAUCGAUCGGAGAAACCCUAGAUCGCGACCUCAAGGAGAGGACGAGGGAGGUAUCGUUGUGAGCUGUAGGAAUGGACGGAGGAAGGCGAAGUUAGACAUAGGAGCGGAACCGGGCCCGGGAGUAAACAAGGCCCAAUAAUCCGGGCCUAAUCUAGGCCCACCGAGCUUUCGGACUGAUUGGGCUUAGAUAGCGCGAGAUCGAAGCCCAAAACUAGCUGGCUGACACAGUCUGAUCUAAUCAGGGAUCUUCUACGUUACACCAGAGAUUCAGGGCCCAUUUGAUAUUGAGGGCCACCAAAGCUAGCAAGCAAAACGAAGUUGGUACAAAAACAUACAGUAACAUGCUCAUUGCACACGACACUACUGCCCAGAAAUAAAUAGUUCUUAUUAUACUUUCUCAUUACACGCAGCACAUUUGCCCUACAAAGCCUUGCAACUAAACAGCGGUGACGGUUGAUUAGCUGGCUUUGUUACGUGCUAACUUCGGUAGCUAAAUAAGUUGGAUUCUGAGUUGUCUUUGCUAAAUUGAGCUAGUGCCUUAAUUGUUUUAUUUACGUCGAUGUGUGGAUACGGCUUGUGCUGUUCAGAAAUCAACAUGAACCAAAGAGCCAGUCGAAUGUAAUCUACGGCAAAUCCUCGCCGCUAUCUUGCAUGUCUGAGUGUCAGGGACCUAGUCCUCUCUGAGGCGUCACCUAUAAAUCUAUAAUCCGUCAUGCAGUCAGCUUAACUUUGUUUGCGCUCCAUUAUCUUGAAAGGGAAACAUGCCAAGGCCCCACCCCAAUAAUAUAUACACGACAGAGCAUGCGACAAUCGAUACUGAUCAAGUUUCAAGUGCGAAUAAGAUUGGUAUUUUCACUACGGUCUCUUUGAGAAAGAACCAACUAUUUAUCAUGUUUCUAUCAAAUGCCUUUGUUUAAGUUACAACUUACAACUCUAACCAAUACCCUCAACACCUCACCCAACCCAAAAAUGAGAGAAAAAAACAAAAAACCUCACAGAAUAGUUCCCCCCAGGUAAGGGGAAAUAAAUCAAUAAACAAGCAGUGACUGAUAAAUCAGACGAUGGAUGGUUUCAUAAUCCACCGUGAAGAGACUUAAGAAUCGCAAAGAAUGACAAAGCCCGGUGCAGAUUGUAAUAAGCUCUUUACAUACCAAUUGGCUUGAACUAUGUAACUGUGGCAGGCCGGCAGCUGUAGUGAAUAAUAUUACACCAGAAAACUGGGACUCACAAAUGCAGGCUUAGACCAUCAGACCUAGCAAUUGGUGAAUCAUGCAAACUCACCAAAAGAGUGCUCACACAACGACUUCUGAUUUGCUCCCUUCCAAACCAAAUUUAGGCUCAGUAGGAUACACAAACACUGUUGCCGCUGCAACUGAGAGGGUCAACGCAGCUGAAUAUCUGACUGAGGCAACGGUGAUCCUCGGCAACUGUUGGGGUCCUGAGCUCAAUGGUACAAGCUUGUAACUAAUAAGAUGCUCAGUUUUCGGCAAAACAAAAGCAGCAUGAUUGUGCGGACCCGACAACACGAAAUUUUGAGAAUCUCCAAGAGAAUACUUGAUUUCCUGAAGCAAGCUGGUUGAGUUUCUGAUCUUUACAUAGAAAGAGAAAGGAAUGCCAAGAAUAGCAUGCGGAGGACACUCCAUCGAAACAACAAGCGGUGGCUUCUCCACAUUAAUAUCAGGCAACCUCUGUCUUGUUGCAAUAGUAUGUUGAUUCUCCCCACGUUUUGAGUCUCUUACCCAGCUGACAUAAACAGUGCCUAAUCCGAGUUUUGGGCAAUCAAUCUCUGGUUUGACUGAAAAGAGCCCUUUAAAAUCUUCACCUGGGACCAGAAGGGCAUUUUCCGGAGAAAUUCCUCCUCCAAUUUGAUGCACAGAGCAGAAAUUCUUGUCAUCCGACUCACCCUCAAGUUUGAUUGACAUUGAAGUUAGUCGCAAAGGCACCUCGGUGCUAUUUCUUGCAGUCACUAUAAGUGUGCUUGAUUCAUUCCAAGCGAGAGACUCCUUUUGAUCACUAAUUGUCAACGACUUGAUCUUGGAGAGCAGCAGAGGUUCUCUGCGAAAAGGGGCCAUAAAUCUGUGGCUUAUGAUUACAGGGAUUUUUCCUUCUAUUUGCAAGCUCCGGUGUACAUUAAUUCUCUGGAGGGUCGCUUCAUCCGAACUUGGUGAGUAACCAAGUGAAACAUAGAGCAUGACAGACUUGGGCCUAUGCCAUUUAAUCUCUAAAUUGCAGGACCAUGACUGUCCCUCUCUCAAGACGGGGACAGAGACCACCCCGAAUGAAUGCUGAAUUUUCCUGAUAUUGUCAAUAUCUGCUUGUGAUUCUUCUUCUUCAGGUGUACCUGAGAUGCUGACUAGCUCAACAUGGUGACUAUCAAAUGGCUCAGCUUCUCUUGGGCUCAUCAGCAGACCGCCUCUUGCAUCCACUAGAUUGAUUUUCAGUUCACCAAAGUGGACUUCAUGGCCUUUUGAAUGGAUAGAGACGGGAACAAUGAAGGUUUCCCCAACUAAUGCGGGACCCAAAGAAUUCAAGAUGAGAUCAACUUGGGGCUCAGGUUCUUCCACCUGGAUUACUUUUUGACCAGAGAAUGAAAGUCCUCGGUCCUUAAUUGGAAAAGAUUCAACUCGAUCCUCAAAUUUCCACAUUGGGAGAUCUUCCAUAGUAGCAGGGCUUUCGGCUUGGCAAGAGAUCAUGAGAUUUUUCCUUAUUUUAGCAACAAUGGAUGAGCAUUCAAGCUUUCCACUCUGUCCUGCACCGUACAUACAUGUUAUUAUAUUCAGAGGAUCAAGCAACAGAAGGCAGAUACAUUAAUCAAACACCUAUAGCAGAAUGGCUUGACAAAUCUUUUUUUACUUAAGUAGAUUACCCAUCAUAAAAAUCAAACAAAUUGGAUUCAUAAAAAUUGAAAUUGAAAAACAAUAGAAUAAAGCUGAAGGCUUACCUGAUUUGAUUUCAUAAGUCAAUCGAAGCCACUUAUUUGGCAAUAAUUUUAACAAAGCAGUCUCUAGCCGCACAUCUUGAUCAUCCAAAAUGAAUGCUGCUGUGGAAAUAUCUUUUUGGGAAUCAACGAUUCUGAAAUUGCAUGUAGGCUGGUUGAACUGAACUUCCAAGAGAUCAAUCUCAACAGGAAGGGCUAGUUGUGACAGAAGUGACACGGUGAUCAGUGUGGGUGAAUUUGGCUUCACAGUUUGAUCAUGAAAAGCAACAGAUGCAAGAAGCACUAUCCUCAAUGGGCUAGUCAAAUCAAUAUUAAGACAAAGAGGUAGGUCUUUCGUUAAAAGGAGAUUGCUUUCUCCACCAGCUUCUGCUUCUGGUGUCUGUGCAUUUGUUACUAGAGCAAAAACUUCCUCUUGGAUAGCUACUCUCCUAGAAAUGGUAGCUGGACCUGCAGGGCAAUAAUCUCUUCUACUCUCAGUGGCUUCUGGCCCUUCGUCAGUUAAUAUAGGCAACGCAGCCAUUUCAAGAGAAUAUCCAACAAACUCUUUUGCUGAACCAAGUUUCCUCGAGCACUCUCGUAAGUAACCCAAGCUUUCCCAAAGCACAGUUGCCCAGCCCUCUUGACGAUAUAAACCAGCAACACUCUCGAAAAGCUGCUUUGCGUUACUAUAAUCUUCAGCAGCAUAGUACUCUUUAGCCAUCCUACUGCUGCAGAAACAAGCCAUCCUCGGAGCACCACGGCGAUUAAAUGAUUCAUAAGCUUUUCUGAAGAGGGCAAUAAUCUCAUAUGCAUCUUGAUAUCUUUCUGCUUCUGCCAAUGCAUAGCUAAUGUAUUCUGCAUCAGAAAGACUGCAAAAUAACCAAAGAAAAAAAAAACAAAACAAAAAGAAUAAAAGUGAAAAAAAAAAAGGCGUCAGCAUCUCAAAGAAACUGGCAGCAUGAAUUUCAGGGACUAGAGUACUGAAACUCACGGAAGCACUGCAACUGUAUCACCUUCUUCAAACAAGCGUGCUGAUUGGCCAAGAUAUAAAGCUGGGAUCACAGACUCUGGAACACCAGCAACUUUUCUUGCCAGGUCUGACGUUGAUAAUAAGUUAUCUAACGAAUAUCUCUUUUCUCUCAAGUAAUUCGCUGCUAACUGCCAGAGAAAAGAAUACAAUGAUAAAUAAUAGAAAAAGGUGUUUUCAGAUAUAUCAUACCCCUCCAAAUCAUCUGUUUACAUAUAUACCCCUUGCAAAAUCAGAAUUUUGAUAGAUACUCUUCAAAAGUGAUGAUUCUUAAAAAGUUGCCCAUGUUUUAACUGGGUAGCGAUCCAAAUCACUGAGGUAUUGUAUCAAAAAAAAUUCUAUAAAAGGGGCAUAUAAUGUAAGCACAAUUCUAUUUUAAAGAAGUUUGGAAGGGCAUAUAUGAAACCUCAGAACACACAGAUUAAUAGUAUAUAUGUAAUCAGAUAUUUUUGCAGGGGUAUAUGAAUAAAUAUCCCAAGAGAAAAGGUAAGGCAAAAAUAUAUCAAACAUGGUAAGAUAAAUUAUACCUGGUAGUAGUAAGCAGGUUGAAAUUCCCACUCAGUCAAAGGAUUAUCUGAUGUGCCAAAAUGAGACAACGUGGCUGGAAUAGCCGCCGAGCUCGUCUCAAGUAACUCAGCGAAAACAAGGAACUGCCUACUGAACCAAUCCCAGUGAAGGAAAGCAACUUCAACCACCCCCACUAGCUGUUUGUAACUCGUAACAUGUUUAUGGAACCAUGUAAUUGCUUCUACCACCUUUCCACCAUGGAGUAACAAAGUCGAUAUUUUGAAGUGCAGCUGCUCAGCCACUGCUUUUAUCUCAACUAGGCGUUGGAUUGGUGGCAACCUUGUUGUGGUCCCAGUCAUCUGAAUAUUUAAGCAUAAAAGAUUAUUGACGAAAUUAAUAUAUUAAAGCCUUGUUUGGUUACACUUCUCUUUACUUCUAACUCAAAUUCUAUGCCAUGGAGUUGAUUGGUGGAUUUAUAGAUUGAUAAUCUAUACAUCUAUGGUUUGCAACAAGAAACUAAAAAUUUUGAAGUGGCUUCUUUCACUUAUUUGUCCUUUUACAAAGAACAUUACUUAGGAAGCUACCAACAAUUAUAAGAAGAGAGAAGUCCAUUUGCAAGCACAUUGUGCAUUGAAUUUGAGUUUCAAAAAAAAGGGGCGGCGGGGGGAGUGUAACCAAACAAGACUUAUAUUAGUAAAGCUUCACUAAAGAACACAUUACAGGGCAGAACAAAAUAGAAUGGAAUGUACCUCACGCAAAGCACGAUAUCCAUCUUCAUAGUAUCUCAAUGCUUCUGCCCAAUCUUUUCUGAACUCAGCAUAAACAGCAACCUGAAGUUCAAGCAGGCACAAUUAUUUACAGUAAAUUAUAAUGCUGUUAGAAGUUGCAAGAAAAAAGAAAUCGAUAU
rnacentral:lncRNA from 1 species